UACGAGGGGGGCAAAUGUUGUUCGGAAUCACUGGGCGUAAAGGGAGCGUAGGCGGGUUUCUAAGUCAGGUGUUUAAUCCCGGGGCCCAACCCCGGACAGGCACUUGAAACUGGGAAUCUUGAAUAGUGGAGAGGUCAGUGGAAUUGGGGGUGUAGCGGUGGAAUGCGUAGAGAUCCCCAAGAACACCAGUUGCGAAGGCGGCUGACUGGACACAUAUUGACGCUGAGGCUCGAAAGCAUGGGGAGCGAACAGG
rnacentral:rRNA from 1 species